AAAAUGAGUUUUUAUUAAUUAAAACUAAAAACACCAAAACACACACCUUUGUGUGUGUUCUGGUCGUACAAAACACAGGAGCCAAGAAGGGCUCUCAAGCUCAAACCCUAACAAGCAUAAAAUCAACAAAUUGAAGGGGUAAAUCCAACCUAAAUCGAAAUCCAAGCACGAAUUCAUGAUCACCUCGAUGAAGGGAUCAUAAGUUUGACUCUUGACAAGCUAGAUGGAGGCUUGGGGAAAGAAGCGGGUCAAACGGAUCGUAUUCGCGGAAAAGAGCAUAAUCCGGAUACUAGGUGAAGAUGGACCUAAUCCGGAUGAAGAUCAAGCGGCGAGCAAGAACCGAACACACGUUAAAUGAAGCUUCCGCGUCAAAUCUUGAUUUGUGUUGAUAUAAGUGAAUUAUGUAAACACUUAUAAAUUGUUUUUGAAAUGUUGUAAUCAUUUGGGAAUGUUGGUAUAACAAGUUUUGUAAAGACACAUUUUAGCAUAAAAAUUUGUAUCUUUUAUUAAAAUAUUAAUAAAACCAGACGGGCGUUACA